rnacentral:rRNA from 1 species
AAUGGGCGAAAGCCUGAUCCAGCAAUGCCGCGUGAGUGAAGAAGGCCUUCGGGUUGUAAAGCUCUUUUGUCAGGGAAGAAACGGUGAGGGCUAAUAUCCCUUGCUAAUGACGGUACCUGAAGAAUAAGCACCGGCUAACUACGUGCCAGCAGCCGCGGUAAUACGUAGGGUGCAAGCGUUAAUCGGAAUUACUGGGCGUAAAGCGUGCGCAGGCGGUUUUGUAAGUCUGAUGUGAAAUCCCCGGGCUCAACCUGGGAAUUGCAUUGGAGACUGCAAGGCUAGAAUCUGGCAGAGGGGGGUAGAAUUCCACGUGUAGCAGUGAAAUGCGUAGAUAUGUGGAGGAACACCGAUGGCGAAGGCAGCCCCCUGGGUCAAGAUUGACGCUCAUGCACGAAAGCGUGGGGAGCAAACAGGAUUAGAUACCCUGGUAGUCCACGCCCUAAACGAUGUCUACUAGUUGUCGGGUCUUAAUUGACUUGGUAACGCAGCUAACGCGUGAAGUAGACCGCC